AUGUAAGUGUAAUUGUAAGUCAGAGCUUUCUGUAUAAUGGGUUUCCUGAUAACGGAUCCCAUACUUGUACUUUACUUUCAUGUCUUUAAGUCUACCUAACCAAAGAUCAGUUUGUUCUUAUACACAGUAUUAUCAAAAAUUACAUCUGUUGUCAUUGUAUAGCUGUUAAAUAACAAGGUACAAGGAUGAAGCUCAGAAUCCUUUCGAUGCUAAACAAUUGUAAGUAAACAUACUCAGAAUGAGAUGCAUUUUGAUCUCCCCUACUGCUCUUAUAUGAUUCCCAUGACCUUGUCUCACAGCUGUAUAAUUUCUCUAGCCGGCACCUGAACACUGCUGAAAUAAGAAUUUCUGCAUCUGACUCGCUUCGCCCCCAGAGCGGUGUCUCCUACACUCAGGGGCAGAGAGGGACCAGCCGAUUCCCUUUUCUUUCCUCACCUACAUGGCUGGAACUAGAGGCUUAAAAUGAUAUGCAGCUAUGUACACGGAAUUAUCAGGGCAUGGUGAGUUCAUUCCCACAGAGCCUAAGUUUGGUGCCUGAGGUGAAGGAUUAAGGAUUUAACCAGGACCAGAAGGAGAUGACGCAAUGGUUGGGAUUGAACUUUGGAAUCCCCAGGAGAGGUAGCUAUAAUAUUUCAGUGACUUUCCUUCUCCUUCAGAAUAGACAAUGUCCCUACAAGAGCAGGAAAAGACAAUAAACUGAUAUUAUGGGGGUACUGCAGGACUGAUGAUAAAUAAUACUGUAAAUCCAGAAUCUGGGGAUUGUCUGCUAUUUUUGCUUUCCUUAUUAGAUGACUUUUUCCUACCACGUGAGAGUACCAUGUACAGGUAUGGGACCUGUUACCCAGAAUGCUUGGGACCUGGGGUUUUCUGGAUAAGGGAUGUUUCCGUAAUUUGGAUCUCCAUACUUGAGUCUGCUAAAAAAAAAUCAUAAACUGUAUACCCAAUACACCAAUAUACCCCAUUGGAGUUUGCCUCCAAUAAAGAUUAAUUAUUGGGAAAGUCAUGGGGAAAAUCAUUUGUAAAUGUUUCAAUUAUUUGAUUAAAAUGGAAUUAAUGGGAGAUGGCCUUCCAGCUUUCUGGAUAAUGGGUUUCCACAUGAUGGAUCCAAUUUGGCUUUUCCUAUACAUAAAAAGGCACGAUGAACCAUUUGUAUGAUAUUUGGUAUUUUCGUUUUUUUUGUAUAUUCCUCCAAAAACGUCUUUUAAAAAAAAAACUUUCCAUUUUUUAAUUCAAGCAGUUUAAUGAAUGCUAGAGUUCAAUUUACUCAAGCCAGGCAGUAGCUUGAAUGAAAGACUGAAGAUGAAUAGGAGAGGGUUUUAAAGGGGUUGUUCACCUUAA